AGUGAACGCUGGCGGUAGGCCUAACACAUGCAAGUCGAACGGCAGCACAGUAAGAGCUUGCUCUUACGGGUGGCGAGUGGCGGACGGGUGAGGAAUAUAUCGGAAUCUACUUUUUCGUGGGGGAUAACGUAGGGAAACUUACGCUAAUACCGCAUACGACCUACGGGUGAAAGCAGGGGAUCUUCGGACCUUGCGCGAUUGAAUGCGCCGAUGUCGGAUUAGCUAGUUGGCGGGGUAAUGGCCCACCAAGGCGACGAUCCGUAGCUGGUCUGAGAGGAUGAUCGGCCACACUGGAACUGAGACACGGUCCAGACUCCUACGGGAGGCAGCAGUGGGGAAUAUUGGACAAUGGGCGCAAGCCUGAUCCAGCCAUACCGCGUGGGUGAAGAAGGCCUUCGGGUUGUAAAGCCCUUUUGUUGGGAAAGAAAAGCAGCAGGUUAAUACGCCGCUGUUCUGACGGUACCCAAAGAAUAAGCACCGGCUAACUUCGUG
rnacentral:rRNA from 1 species